UCCCCUCCAGCCGCAUGAGCCUUUCAUCUGCCCUCUUCCCAGCUCAGAGCUCCCCUCAUUCUCACCACACAGAUUUCAACUCAGAAGUCAACUUCUGAAGGAGACCCUCACUGACUACCUGGCAUGAAGUCCCCCACUUGCUCACUUUCUAUCACCUUUCCGGCUUGACUUCCUUCACUGCACUCACUGCUGUCUACCAGCAGAACACCAGGAGAGUCUCCAUCUCAAUGCUCAGCUGAGCAAGGACGGGCCACACAGACCACACCAGCAGUGGGUUGGCGCAUGCUGUGUUUACAGCAUCUUCAUCACUCGCUCAGGAGCCCCAGAACUCAGGCUUGUCAUUCCCCAGACACUUUUUGAGCACCAUGCUGAAGGUCGUGGAGCUGGCCUUGGGGCCAGGGAGCCCGGCUACACUCCACCUUGUGACACAGCUGUGGGACUUGGGUAAGUCAUGUCUGUGGCCUCUAACCGCAGUUUCCUCCUCUGUAAAAUGGGGAUGAGAAUGUCU
rnacentral:lncRNA from 1 species